ensembl:lncRNA
UGAUACAGUUCCACUGCAAUGAAAAUAAAACUCAGGACUCCUCACCAUGGCCUCCCGCCUCCGCCUCCGGAUGCUCUUUCUCUCUGCCUCCCCACCCUGUUGCUCCGCUGGCCCUGUCUCAGCUCCUGGAAGAAAUGAAUCUUUUUCCUACCCCCCACCCUGGUAUGACAGUGUCAACUGUCCCCUCCGCAAUUCCCCUCAAUCCCUCAGGCCUCCUCCAGCCUUCCCCCCACGCUGGGCGGACCGCACACCCGUUAACUCCUGCUCCUCCUCCAGCUCCUGGCUUAAAAGUCCCUUUGUCAGAGGGGCUUCCUGGACUUCAGGUCUCACCACUGCUCUCGCUCCCAGCUCCCUCUUCUUCUCUGUCUUAGCACCGACCUCUGGCACAGCCUCAGUCAGGUGUGAAUUGUCCUGUCGUAUGUCUGUCUCCUCCAGGACAGAAGCUCCAGGAAAGCAGCGAUUGGUUCUACCUGUUAACAAGUGCAUGUUGGGGACCUCCCUGGUCCAGUUGUUAAGACUCCACGCUCCCAAUCGCAGGGCCUGAGUUUGAUCCCUGGUCAGGGAACUAGACCCCACAUGCCGCAACUCGAAGUUUGCAUGCUGCAACUAGGACCCAGCGAAGCCUAAUUAAUUAAUUUUUAAAAAAGAGCAUGUAAGAGGUUCCUUGUUUGUCAAAUGACUGGAUCCCCAUUUUAGAGGUAAAAAAACAGGUUCAGAAAGAUGAGGACUCUAACCCUAGUCUGUUUUUGCUGUGUUCCAAGGUGAGUCACACCUUACUGUAGGCAGAGGAGGGUCAGAUGAGUAUGAGGGAAAAAUGACUGGAAAAUGCUUAGCUCUGUGCCUGGCAGGUGGUGAGCAUCAGUACCGCUCCCGGCCUCAGUGUGUGACCCGAGAGCCCCCUGAGGGAGUGUGGGGGCUGUCUGUACUUCCACACUCUCCUAUCUCCCCUGGGGACACGGGACUGCCCCCAUCUUACUCCUCCAAUACCUGUCAAUCUGAACAGGGCCUGAGCCCACUGAGCAAUUUGGGCAGGGGUCCAUGAAAAAGUCUCCCUCAGUCACCCCAAAUAAGCCCACCCUCAAAGUUAAAGCCAUGAGCUCCUUACACAGGUGUACCUCAAGUCACGUACCUGAACCCCCUUUCCCUCAGACAGCAACCCCUGUUCCCCUCAGAGAGAGGGUAUCACCCUGUCUUGGCUGUGACCCGCUCUGGAGGUACCCUGGUCCUACUCACCCCCUGCUGAGUUCUGUGAGUCAGAGACUGAAUCGGGGGUCCCCCCUGGCCAGGCACCCGGUGAUAUGGUCUGGGCAUCAGGCCACUGCAGCCCUCGAGGGCCUCCCUUCCAGACCAGUGGGCUGGCCUGGCUCCUCUCCAGCCCUGACCCAACUCAGGGCCCUUCCCCAGUGCCUGCCAGCCCCUGCCCUGGGGCCCGGCUGUGCCCCUCCCCAGCCCCAGGCCCUCAGGCAUCACUCCCCUCCUCCCGGCUGUUAGCCUGGGAAGGGGGCCAGGCCCUGAGCUCAGACCUUGGCGAUUCCAGAGUGUCUGAGGCCCAGAGCCAGCCCAGCCAGCCCGGCCAGACAAGGAGAAGGGGCGGGGGCAGGGUGGGCACCGGGAAGCCAUUUACUGGGGGUUGGCAGGCAAGCUGGAUUUCAAACUUUGUUCUAUCUACUCUUCUUCAGGACCUCAUGGACUUCUUCCUGGGACCCCACUGAGGGCCUGGUGAAGGGGUACCCCCUCCUUGAGUCUUAGUGGGCAGGGGUGGACCGGUACUCAUGAGAAGUGACUGAGGGGUGGUGAGACCCUCGCAUGUGCAGAGGAGGCUGGGCCAGGGCUGGGAGCCCUGGGUUCCAGCCCCACCUGGCCUCCUACCAGCCGCGCGACCCCCAGGCCCGGCCCAUCUUCCUCCCCCAGCCUCGGUUUCCCACUUGGAUGCUGCGGGGCGGAGGUGGGCGCGGGCCUCCCGGCCCCGCCCGGAGGAAUCUGGCGGGGCGGCCAGCGGUCCCAGGUGAGGGUUCCCUGGAGCGGGCCCAGCGCGGCGGCGGCGGGUUCCGGCGGGGCGGGCAUCUGGGGUGGGGACCGCCCCCCCCCA